rnacentral:rRNA from 1 species
AACGCGAAGAACCUUACCUGGGCUCGAACGGCUUCGGACCAUCCUUGGAAACAGGGACUUCCCGCAAGGGACUGGAGUCGAGGUGCUGCAUGGCUGUCGUCAGCUCGUGUCGUGAGAUGUUGGGUUAAGUCCCGCAACGAGCGCAACCCUUGUCCUGUGUUGGCAUGCCGUAAGGCGCAACUCUCAGGAGACCGCCAGCGAUAAGUUGGAGGAAGGUGGGGAUGACGUCAAGUCAUCAUGGCCUUUAUGUCCAGGGCCACACACGUGCUACAAUGGGCGCCACAAAGCGUCGCGAACCCGCGAGGGGGAGCUAAUCGCAAAAAAGCGCGCUCAGUUCGGAUUGCAGUCUGCAACUCGACUGCAUGAAGCCGGAAUCGCUAGUAAUGGCGCAUCAGAACGGCGCCGUGAAUACGUUCCCGGGCCUUGUACACACCGCUAGUC